GUGCGUAUUGUUAUGCGUUUACUUUUCUACAUUGGUUAGAGGUAUAGGGGGAGGGUUGAGAUCUCACAAACAUGUUUAACCCCGCCGCAUUUUUGCGCCUGUCCCAAGUAAGGAGCCUCUGGCCUUUGUUAGUCUUGUAUUAUUUUAAUUUUAGUUUCUUGUGUUCAAUUUGGAAAUUAGUAUGGCGUUCAUUAUCACUGGACUAGUAUAUAUUUGUUUAGGGGCCAGCUAAAGGACGCCUCCGGGUGCGGGAAUUUCUCGCUACAUUGAAGACCUGUUGGUGACCCUCUGCUGUUGUUUUUUAUUUGGUCGGGUUGUUGUCUCUUUGACACAUUCCCCAUUUCCAUUCUCAAUUUUAUG
rnacentral:lncRNA from 1 species